rnacentral:tRNA from 1 species
UCCCUGGCAGUCCAGUGUUUAGGACUCCGUGCUUCCACCACAGAGGGCACAGGUUCGAUCCCUGGUUGGGGAA